GACAGAGGUGCCGAGCGUUAGGCGGAAUCACUGGGCUUAAAGCGUGUGUAGGCGGACCGUUAAGUACCUUGUGAAAUCCCCCGGCUCAACCGGGGAACGGCUGGGUAUACUGGCGGUCUUGAGCCAUCCAGGGGCAGGCGGAACAGACGGUGGAGCGGUGAAAUGCGUAGAUAUCGGCUGGAACGCCGAAGGUGAAAACAGACUGCUGGGGAUGCGCUGACGCUGAGACACGAAAGCCAGGGGAGCGAACGGG
rnacentral:rRNA from 1 species